rnacentral:rRNA from 1 species
GACGAACGCUGGCGGCGUGCUUAACACAUGCAAGUCGAACGAUGAAGCCGGAGCUUGCUCUGGUGAAUUAGUGGCGAACGGGUGAGUAACACGUGAGUAACCUGCCCUUGACUCUGGGAUAACUGCUAGAAAUGGUAGCUAAUACCGGAUACGACCCUCGGAGGCAUCUCCAGGGGGUGGAAAGAAUUUCGGUCAAGGAUGGACUCGCGGCCUAUCAGCUAGUUGGUGAGGUAAUGGCUCACCAAGGCGACGACGGGUAGCCGGCCUGAGAGGGUGACCGGCCACGCUGGGACUGAGACACGGCCCAGACUCCUACGGGAGGCAGCAGUGGGGAAUAUUGCACAAUGGGCGCAAGCCUGAUGCAGCAACGCCGCGUGAGGGAUGACGGCCUUCGGGUUGUAAACCUCUUUUAGUAGGGAAGAAGCGAAAGUGACGGUACCUGCAGAAAAAGCACCGGCUAACUACGUGCCAGCAGCCGCUGUAA